rnacentral:rRNA from 1 species
UACGUAGGGGGCAAGCGUUGUCCGGAUUUAUUGGGCGUAAAGAGCGUGUAGGCGGUUUUACAGGUCCGCUGUGAAAACUCGAGGCUCAACCUCGAGACGCCGAUGGAAACCAUCGAACUAGAGUCCGGAAGAGGAGAGUGGAAUUCCUGGUGUAGCGGUGAAAUGCGCAGAUAUCAGGAAGAACACCCGUGGCUAAGGCGGCUCUCUAGUACGGUACUGACGCUGAGACGCGAAAGCGUGGGGAGCGAACAGG